AUACGUAGGUGACAAGCGUUAUCCGGAUUUACUGGGCGUAAAGGGCGUGUAGGCGGUCUUGCAAGUCAGAAGUGAAAUUCCUGAGCUCAACUCGGGCGCUGCUUCUGAAACUGCAGGACUUGAGUGCUGGAGGGGAUAGCGGAAUUCCUAGUGGAGCGGUAAAAUGCGCAGAUAUUAGGAAGAACACCGGUGGCGAAGGCGACUUGCUGAACAGUAACUGACGCCGAGGCACGAAAGCGUGGGGAACAAACAGGAUGAUAUCCCCUGGUAGUCCACGCCGUAAACGAUGAAUACUAGGUGUAGGGGGUAUCGACUCCCUCUGUGCCGCAGUUAACACAAUAAGUAUUCCGCCUGGGGAGUACGGCCGCAAGGUGGAAACUCAAAGGAAUUGACGGGG
rnacentral:rRNA from 1 species